CAAAAAACUGUUGGUGCAGUGUGUUGAAGUGUUUGUGUCUCUGCUGGAGUUUGUGUUCACUCGAGUGAAGAGAGGUUUUUGUACGAGUCUUUCAUUAGAUCGUAUCACUGUGGUACACUUUCGGUGGAGGAACUAAACUGGUGCUCGCUGGUCCCACAGAGAAGCCCUCGGUGUCUCUGCUGCCGCCCUCUUCUCUGCAGAUCUCUGGAGACUCAGCCGCACUGCUCUGCCUGCUCAGCUCUUACUCUCCACAGGGGCGCAGGUGAGCUGGAGGCUGGACGACUCAGAGGUC